UGGGCAAUGGGGGGUGCUAUACAUGCAAGUCGAGCGAACAGACAAGGAGCUUGCUCCUUUGACGUUAGCGGCGGACGGGUGAGUAACACGUGGGUAACCUACCUAUAAGACUGGGAUAACUUCGGGAAACCGGAGCUAAUACCGGAUAAUAUUUCGAACCGCAUGGUUCGAUAGUGAAAGAUGGUUUUGCUAUCACUUAUAGAUGGACCCGCGCCGUAUUAGCUAGUUGGUAAGGUAACGGCUUACCAAGGCGACGAUACGUAGCCGACCUGAGAGGGUGAUCGGCCACACUGGAACUGAGACACGGUCCAGACUCCUACGGGAGGCAGCAGUAGGGAAUCUUCCGCAAUGGGCGAAAGCCUGACGGAGCAACGCCGCGUGAGUGAUGAAGGUCUUCGGAUCGUAAAACUCUGUUAUUAGGGAAGAACAUACGUGUAAGUAACUAUGCACGUCUUGACGGUACCUAAUCAGAAAGCCACGGCUAACUACGUGCCAGCAGCCGCGGUAAUACGUAGGUGGCAAGCGUUAUCCGGAAUUAUUGGGCGUAAAGCGCGCGUAGGCGGUUUUUUAAGUCUGAUGUGAAAGCCCACGGCUCAACCGUGGAGGGUCAUUGGAAACUGGAAAACUUGAGUGCAGAAGAGGAAAGUGGAAUUCCAUGUGUAGCGGUGAAAUGCGCAGAGAUAUGGAGGAACACCAGUGGCGAAGGCGACUUUCUGGUCUGUAACUGACGCUGAUGUGCGAAAGCGUGGGGAUCAAACAGGAUUAGAUACCCUGGUAGUCCACGCCGUAAACGAUGAGUGCUAAGUGUUAGGGGGUUUCCGCCCCUUAGUGCUGCAGCUAACGCAUUAAGCACUCCGCCUGGGGAGUACGACCGCAAGGUUGAAACUCAAAGGAAUUGACGGGGACCCGCACAAGCGGUGGAGCAUGUGGUUUAAUUCGAAGCAACGCGAAGACCCUUACCAAAUCUUGACAUCCUUUGACAACUCUAGAGAUAGAGCCUUCCCCUUCGGGGGACAAAGUGACAGGUGGUGCAUGGUUGUCCUCAGCUCGUGUCGUGAGAUUGUGGGUUAGUCCCGCAACGAGCGCACCCUUAAGCUUA
rnacentral:rRNA from 1 species